rnacentral:rRNA from 1 species
GACAGAGGGUGCAAGCGUUGUUCGGAAUUACUGGGCGUAAAGCGCGUGUAGGCGGCCAUCUAAGUCGGGCGUGAAAUCCCACGGCUCAACCGUGGAAGUGCACUCGAAACUGGAUGGCUAGAGUCCUGGAGAGGAAGGUGGAAUGCUUGGUGUAGAGGUGAAAUUCGUAGAUAUCAAGCGGAACACCGGUGGCGAAGGCGGCCUUCUGGACAGUGACUGACGCUGAGACGCGAAAGCGUGGGGAGCAAACAGG